UACGUAGGGGGCAAGCGUUGUCCGGAUUUAUUGGGCGUAAAGAGCGUGUAGGCGGCCAGACAGGUCCGUUGUGAAAACUCCAGCUCAACCUGGAGACGCCACCCGAUACUGCCAUGGCUAGAGUCCGGUAGGGGACCACGGAAUUCCUGGUGUAGCGGUGAAAUGCGCAGAUAUCAGGAGGAACACCGGUGGCGAAGGCGGUGGUCUGGGCCGGAACUGACGCUGGAGGAGCGAAAGCGUGGGGAGCGAACAGGA
rnacentral:rRNA from 1 species